UACGUAGGGUGCGAGCGUUGUCCGGAUUUAUUGGGCGUAAAGAGCUUGUAGGCGGCUCGUCGCGUCGGGUGUGAAAACUUGCGGCUUAACCGCAAGCCUGCACCCGAUACGGGCGGGCUAGAGUUCGGCAGGGGAGACUGGAAUUCCUGGUGUAGCGGUGGAAUGCGCAGAUAUCAGGAGGAACACCGGUGGCGAAGGCGGGUCGCUGGGCCGAUACUGACGCUGAGAAGCGAAAGCGUGGGGAGCGAACAGG
rnacentral:rRNA from 1 species